UACGGAGGGUGCAAGCGUUAUCCGGAUUCACUGGGUUUAAAGGGUGCGUAGGCGGGUAAGUAAGUCCGUGGUGAAAUCUCUGAGCUUAACUCAGAAACUGCCGUGGAUACUAUUUGCCUUGAAUAUUGUGGAGGUGAGCGGAAUAUGUCAUGUAGCGGUGAAAUGCGUAGAUAUCGCUUGGAACGCCGAAGGUGAAAACAGGUCGCUGGGGAUGUGCCGACGCUGAGACACGAAAGCCAGGGGAGCAAACGGG
rnacentral:rRNA from 1 species